GACGAACGCUGGCGGCGUGCUUAACACAUGCAAGUCGAACGGAAAGGCCCUGCUUUUGUGGGGUGCUCGAGUGGCGAACGGGUGAGUAACACGUGAGUAACCUGCCCUUGACUUUGGGAUAACUUCAGGAAACUGGGGCUAAUACCGGAUAGGAGCUCCUGCUGCAUGGUGGGGGUUGGAAAGUUUCGGCGGUUGGGGAUGGACUCGCGGCUUAUCAGCUUGUUGAUGGGGUAGUGGCUUACCAAGGCUUUGACGGGUAGCCGGCCUGAGAGGGUGACCGGCCACAUUGGGGCUGAGAUACGGCCCAGACUCCUACGGGAGGCAGCAGUGGGGAAUAUUGCACAAUGGGCGGAAGCCUGAUGCAGCAACGCCGCGUGCGGGAUGACGGCCUUCGGGUUGUAAACCGCUUUCGCCUGUGACGAAGCGUGAGUGACGGUAAUGGGUAAAGAAGCACCGGCUAACUACGUG
rnacentral:rRNA from 1 species